UCAGAGCCAGGCGCAGG
rnacentral:misc_RNA from 1 species